CUUGACCACACCAGGGUUCCACAGUGAUGCCACAAUGCUGCUCACCUGCACUGGAGUCAGAGCAAUGGCAAGAGCCACAGCAGCUCAGGAAAGAAGUUUCAGAAAGCUGUGCUCUGAAGGCUGGACAAAUGCAUGAGCUUAAGACACACAGGACUAUUUAAUUUCCUGUUGCUCUGCUCCUGGAGGAGCGGCACGCUGCUGGAAAUACCUCACACCGCAAAAACCCCAGCAGAGUCCCGAGGAGUCAAAAAGAACUGAAAGAAAAUGCCUCAGUGGUACGAUGCCCAUCAGAGAACAGCAAAACCAGAAAAUUAAGUAGGACUGAAUUUUUCUAUCUGCUGUGUUAUUG